AGAGUUUGAUCCUGGCUCAGGACGAACGCUGGCGGCGUGCUUAACACAUGCAAGUCGAGCGGAAAGGCCCUUCGGGGUACUCGAGCGGCGAACGGGUGAGUAACACGUGAGCAACCUGCCCUUAGCUCCGGGAUAGCUCCGGGAAACCGGAAUUAAUACCGGAUACGACCACGGCCGACAUCUGCUGUGGUGGAAAGGAUUCCGGCUAAGGAUGGGCUCGCGGCCUAUCAGCUAGUUGGUGGGGUAACGGCCCACCAAGGCGACGACGGGUAGCCGGCCUGAGAGGGCGACCGGCCACACUGGGACUGAGACACGGCCCAGACUCCUACGGGAGGCAGCAGUGGGGAAUAUUGCGCAAUGGGCGAAAGCCUGACGCAGCGACGCCGCGUGGGGGAUGAAGGCCUUCGGGUUGUAAACCCCUUUCAGCAGGGACGAAGCGAAAGUGACGGUACCUGCAGAAGAAGCGCCGGCUAACUACGUGCCAGCAGCCGCGGUAAUACGUAGGGCGCAAGCGUUGUCCGGAAUUAUUGGGCGUAAAGAGCUCGUAGGCGGUCUGUUGCGUCCGCUGUGAAAACCCA
rnacentral:rRNA from 1 species